UGGGGAAUAUUGGACAAUGGGCGCAAGCCUGAUCCAGCCAUGCCGCGUGAGUGAUGAAGGCCCUAGGGUUGUAAAGCUCUUUCACCGGUGAAGAUAAUGACGGUAACCGGAGAAGAAGCCCCGGCUAACUUCGUGCCAGCAGCCGCGGUAAUACGAAGGGAGCUAGCGUUGUUCGGAUUUACUGGGCGUAAAGCGCACGUAGGCGGACUAUUAAGUCAGGGGUGAAAUCCCGGGGCUCAACCCCGGAACUGCCUUUGAUACUGGUAGUCUUGAGUUCGAGAGAGGUGAGUGGAAUUCCGAGUGUAGAGGUGAAAUUCGUAGAUAUUCGGAGGAACACCAGUGGCGAAGGCGGCUCACUGGCUCGAUACUGACGCUGAGGUGCGAAAGCGUGGGGAGCAAACAGG
rnacentral:rRNA from 1 species